GACAGAGGAUGCAAGCGUUAUCCGGAAUGAUUGGGCGUAAAGCGUCUGUAGGUGGCUUUUUAAGUCCGCCGUCAAAUCCCAGGGCUCAACCCUGGACAGGCGGUGGAAACUACCAAGCUGGAGUACGGUAGGGGCAGAGGGAAUUUCCGGUGGAGCGGUGAAAUGCGUAGAGAUCGGAAAGAACACCAACGGCGAAGGCACUCUGCUAGGCCUGAUUUCGCGACUGACACUCAGGACGAGAGCCAGGGGAGCGAAUGGG
rnacentral:rRNA from 1 species